CCUACGUGGAGCAGCAGUGAGGAAUAUUGGUCAAUGGGCGCGAGCCUGAACCAGCCAAGUAGCGUGAAGGAUGACUGCCCUACGGGUUGUAAACUUCUUUUAUAAAGGAAUAAAGUGAGGCACGUGUGCCUUUUUGUAUGUACUUUAUGAAUAAGGAUCGGCUAACUCCUUGCCAGCAGCCGCGGUAAUACGGAGGAUCCGAGCGUUAUCCGGAUUUAUUGGGUUUAAAGGGAGCGUAGAUGGGUUGUUAAGUCAGUUGUGAAAGUUUGCGGCUCAACCGUAAAAUUGCAAUGGAUACUGGCAGUCUUGAGUACAGUUGAGGUAGGCGGAAUUCGUGGUGUAGCGGUGAAAUGCUUAGAUAUCACGAAGAACUCCGAUUGCGAAGGCAGCUUACUAAACUGCCACUGACAUUGAUGCUCGAAAGUGUGGGUAUCAAACAGGAUUAGAUACCCCAGUAGUC
rnacentral:rRNA from 1 species